rnacentral:rRNA from 1 species
UACGUAGGGUGCGAGCGUUAAUCGGAAUGACUGGGCGUAAAGGGCGCGUAGGCGGUGCGCUAAGUCAGAUGUGAAAGCCCUGGGCUUAACCCGGGAACUGCAUUUGAUACUGGCGCGCUCGAAUCCGGGAGAGGUUGGUGGAAUUCCCAGUGUAGAGGUGAAAUUCGUAGAGAUUGGGAAGAACACCGGUGGCGAAGGCGGCCAACUGGACCGGUAUUGACGCUGAGGCGCGAAAGCGUGGGGAGCAAACAGG